rnacentral:rRNA from 1 species
UACGAAGGGGGCUAGCGUUGCUCGGAAUCACUGGGCGUAAAGCGCACGUAGGCGGCUUUCUAAGUCAGGGGUGAAAUCCUGGAGCUCAACUCCAGAACUGCCUUUGAUACUGGAGAGCUUGAGUCCGGAAGAGGUGAGUGGAACUCCGAGUGUAGAGGUGAAAAUUCGUAGAUAUUCGGAAGAACACCAGUGGCGAAGGCGGCUCACUGGUCCGGUACUGACGCUGAGGCACGAAGGCCAGGGGAGCGAACGGGG